CCCCCCCCCCCCCCCCCCCCCCCCCCCCCCCCCCCCCCCCCCCCCCCCCCCCCCCCCCCCCCCCCCCCCCCCCCCCCCCCCCCGUGUGCUCCUUGGCUCAGGAGAUGUGCAGGGGGUUCCAGCCUGUGUGCUCCUUGGCUCAGGAGAUGUGCAGCAGUGCAGGGGGUUCCAGCCUGUGUGCUCCUUGGCUCAGGAGAUGUGCAGCAGUGCAGGGGGUUCCAGCCUGUGUGCUCCUUGGCUCAGGAGAUGUGCAGCAGUGCAGGGGGUUCCAGCCUGUGUGCUCCUUGGCUCAGGAGAUGUGCAGGGGGUUCCAGCCUGUGUGCUCCUUGGCUCAGGAGAUGUGCAGCAGUGCAGGGGGUUCCAGCC
rnacentral:lncRNA from 1 species